CAGCACAUACCGGCUCGCCUUUAUCUCCUUUGUGUCCCUCUGGACCCUGAAAAACAUGGACAUUCAUUAUCAAACGGGUCUCCGGGACGUCCUGGAAGACCGAGAGGGCCCUGCCAUUGGAGAGGAGGAGAAGUGUCCAGUAUUACCAGGAGGCCCCUGAGAUUGUGGAGAAAGAGCGAUAGGGAGAGACGGACAGAAAAGAGAACCAGGGGGUCCUGUUCUACCUGGUCGUCCCGGUAACCCCGGGAUGCCAUCCGUUCCGGGAAGACCCUGAUGAAUGGUGUGGAGCGGGAAUAAUACAGACAAAAACAAACGAAAAAAACAUACACAAAUACAGAAAUUGUUUGAUGCUGCUAACAUCAGAACAUCUUCAGUGCACAUAUUACUUUGAAAUCAAAUAUAGAGCAAUAUAAAAUCCACGCAUUCACAUUGAUACAUAUCACAAAAAUAAAUAAGGAAACAUCUACAACAAUGCUGAUCUUGUUAGCAAGACCUGUCACAUUUCAUUUGUUAUUCAAAAGAGUCGCUUUGAUAUGACAAGCGCUUUCAUGUGUCGCCUUCUCAAAGAGAUAACAGGAAGAAAAAAAAGUAAAGUAUGAAUAGCACCCCGCAUAGAGGCAGAUCUGCGAUAUUAAUAAUUAGAUUUAAUCCUUUAAUCUACUAAAACAACAACUGAGUCACAAAAACAAUCUCAUCAUUAACAGAAUGGCUCGGUUUAAAUAAUAAAUGCUCCAGUAAUUAACAUAAACAUGAAUGUGUAAUUACGGAGAGGACGGGGGUGUUUUAUUUUGUGUUUAUUGAAGUUUGUGCUUGAGCGUUUCAGAUGCUGGAUGU